rnacentral:sRNA from 1 species
CGUUAAUCUACAAAGACUAAAUACGCGCCGUCCUGGCGGCAGGCUCAAAGUGCAACAUCCGCGCCGUCCUGGCGGCAGGCUCAAAGUGCAACAUCCUGUUGCUUCGCCUGCACUAGUACAUCCUGUACGUCGCAACGUCUUUGUAAUCAACUUCCUGUUGA